rnacentral:rRNA from 1 species
UACAGAGGUGGCAAGCGUUGUUCGGAAUUACUGGGCGUAAAGGGCGCGUAGGCGGUUCGUUAAGUCCUGUGUGAAAUCCCCCGGCUCAACUGGGGAGCUGCACAGGAAACUAGCGGGCUUGAGUUCGGGAGAGGGAAGCGGAAUUCCGGGUGUAGCAGUGAAAUGCGUAGAUAUCCGGAGGAACACCGGUGGCGAAGGCGGCUUCCUGGACCGACACUGACGCUGAGGAGCGAAAGCGUGGGGAGCGAACAGG